GAGAGAAUACGGUCUGGCCCGGGUGGACCGGCGGGCUGUCCGUGUGCGCACCCUUUCUUACGUCGCCCUGGCGGCUUCCCCCCAGAGCUGAUCUGUCCCCAGCCCUGUACCCCUCUGGGGGGCGGCUGAUGGCUGCCCCAGCCUUCCAAGUCCGACCUGGCUGCAGGCCUCGUCCCAGAAAGCCUGUUAGUUAGGACCAACCAGGAAAAGUCAAGUAUGCACCCCUCACCAAUCGCAUAGGACGCCCCACUUCUGCUAAGCUGCCUCCAGCUUCCCCAGCCAACAGCCCCCAGUGAGAGCCCACCCGAAGCCUUGCCUUUUGCCAGCUGUAAAACUGCCCCUCCCUCUGCCUGCCGAAGCCGAGGGACACUGACUGACCCCUUUGCUCGAUGGCGAGCUCUGAAUAAAUGGCUUUGGCCUGUUCUUU